UUUAGAAUAGAGAACGUGUUGAAAUUCAACAUGUUCCUUCUAAUAACACUAAUCAGCCGUCUUCAUAGAAACCAGACUUCCCAAACACAGAAUCCCUUAAAUACGGAGCAGCCUGGCUGCACGGUACCACUUGUUCCUUUGAAGCGAUCAUGGAUACCAUUAAGAUCAUCGUGGUGCUCACCACACUCUGCAUUGGGACAGGUAAAAGGCACGGGGGACUCGGGGGAAGAUUUCUCACUUCAUUGUUCUGCCAUUAGUUGUUUAUGUAGAUAGUGCGUCAGUGAAGUUGAACAUGUCUGUACAUUAUGUUUGUCUUUUUGCUACAAAAUAUCUGAUUUCUAGGAUAACGAUUUGGUGGGUUAAUUAGUGGAUUCAUAAUGAUAGGAUUGAUUAACAUGUCUAUUCUGUAAUCAGCCCUUUUUUUCG